ACGGAGGGUGCAAGCGUUAUCCGGAUUCACUGGGUUUAAAGGGUGCGUAGGUGGGUUGAUAAGUCAGUGGUGAAAUCUCCGGGCUUAACUCGGAAACUGCCGUUGAUACUAUCAGUCUUGAAUAUGGUGGAGGUAAGCGGAAUAUGUCAUGUAGCGGUGAAAUGCUUAGAUAUGACAUAGAACACCGAUUGCGAAGGCAGCUCACUACACGAAUAUUGACUCUGAGGCACGAAAGCGUGGGGAUCAAACAGGA
rnacentral:rRNA from 1 species